rnacentral:rRNA from 1 species
UGGGAAACUGCCUGAUGGAGGGGGAUAACUACUGGAAACGGUGGCUAAUACCGCAUAACGUCGCAAGACCAAAGAGGGGGACCUUCGGGCCUCUUGCCAUCAGAUGUGCCCAGAUGGGAUUAGCUUGUUGGUGAGGUAACGGCUCACCAAGGCGACGAUCCCUAGCUGGUCUGAGAGGAUGACCAGCCACACUGGAACUGAGACACGGUCCAGACUCCUACGGGAGGCAGCAGUGGGGAAUAUUGCACAAUGGGCGCAAGCCUGAUGCAGCCAUGCCGCGUGUAUGAAGAAGGCCUUCGGGUUGUAAAGUACUUUCAGCGGGGAGG